rnacentral:piRNA from 1 species
AAUAGAACCAAACAUGUGCAGCAGCGACU